GACCCACUCCAGUAUUCUUGCCUGAAGAAUCCCCAUGGACAGAGGAGCCUGGUGGGCUGCACGCCAUGGGGUUGGAAAGAGUUGGACACGACUGAACUACUAAGCACGCAGCUCUUAUUAUCUGGAUUCUUUGUGGCUUCUCUGACGUUCCUGCUGCCUCACUUUCCCUGGUGCUGCGAGAAAAAUCCUGGGUGGCUUGAUACAUAUUAAGAAGGAAUGGCUGAACUCCUGGGAUACAGAACUGACUGGCCAUUUGUUGGGACUUGGGACAGUGUCGGCAGUUAAUGAUUUGAAGCACAUAAGCAGCUGUAGAGGAGCAGAAGGUUGGGAAGGGUGUGUGGGGGGUGAGUUCCAGAGGAUGCCCAGCUUGGGGAUGGAGAGCACCACUGUACCCGGAAGUAGAUUUGGGUUACCUGAAAAAAGCAGAGAAUCUCAGCAAAUAUCCUCUCCCUGUUUGAGACAGAGGUCUUCUCUCUCCUGAUUGCAGGGUCAGGAAUUUUGUGAGGGGAAGCAUUGCCCUUCACACAGCAGUUUGUCAGCUGUCAGCAGCUCCUGACAUGACAAAAUCCCAAAGCAGAGAGACUGGGGCUGCGUAAUACAGAAGUGCCCAGUUGUCUGAGUUGAAAAGAGAGGAAAACAUCAGAUGCUGCUUUUCAAACAAAGACCCAGUUUCAUGCUUAACACCACAAAGAUAACUUGGUUUUCUGUUCUUAGGAUUAAAAAAAAAAAAGCGGGGGGGGAACCCACCAAAAAACCUUUGUACCUUUGAAGUAAGAGCAAGCUAUGUGAAAUGAAUUUUAACCAGGUUCUGCCAAUAUCUAUCAGCACCAGCAUUUCAUAUUGCAGAUAAUAAGCAUCUGGGGAAAAUGACAGGCAAGAGCAAGGGAAAUCUGGAGGCAAGGGCCAGAGUUUGCAGUAUCCAGGUCAGACAAGGGUUCAGAAGACUUUUGGGAUGAGGGUGUGACUAG
ensembl:lncRNA